CAUAUCAAUAAGCGGAGGAAAAGAAACCAACUGGGAUUGCCUUAGUAACGGCGAGUGAAGCGGCAAUAGCUCAAAUUUGAAAGCUGGCCCCUUCGGGGUCCGCGUUGUAAUUUGUAGAGGAUGAUUCGGCGAGGGCUCCCGUCUAAGUCCCCUGGAACGGGGCGUCAUAGAGGGUGAGAAUCCCGUAUGUGAUGGGUUGCCUUAGCCAUGUGAAUCUCCUUCGACGAGUCGAGUUGUUUGGGAAUGCAGCUCUAAAUGGGAGGUAAAUUUCUUCUAAAGCUAAAUACCGGCCAGAGACCGAUAGCGCACAAGUAGAGUGAUCGAAAGAUGAAAAGCACUUUGGAAAGAGAGUUAAAAAGUACGUGAAAUUGUUGAAAGGGAAGCGCUUGCAGCCAGACUUGUCCGCAGUUGCUCAGCCGGUCUCCUGACCGGCGUACUCUUCUGCGGCCAGGCCAGCAUCAGUUCGGGCGGUCGGAUAAAGACCUCGGGAAUGUAGCUCCUCUCGGGGAGUGUUAUAGCCCGGGGUGGAAUGCGGCCAGCCUGGACUGAGGAUCUCGCUUCGGCUAGGAUGCUGGCGUAAUGGCUGUAAGCGG
rnacentral:rRNA from 1 species